UCCGGGCAUGACCGCAAAAUGGCGGCGGUUACGCCCACUUCCUGUACACGCCCCCUUGCGCCUGCAUGAGGUCAAAGGUCACAUACACAAGGUCACUAGUUUCUCUGACUUGAUAGACUUCAUGGAGAGACAAGUGAAGAUAUUGUCGGAUCCACUUUUUGGGAACAUCCAGGAUGCUAAGGCAACUACAUCCGUCAAAACCGGCAACUGUCACAGCAAGAGAGGCCGAGACCAAGAGGAAGCAGUUUUGCAACUACUGCAACACCUGUGGAAAUGCCAAUACAAGAAAAAAUGACAAGUGGAAUGAAAAAAAGAUGCACAGGGAAAAAUCGACUUCUUAAAGAAAAGGGGAGUCUGUUUUGGCUGUUUGAAGGUAGGACACAUGAGCAAAGACUGCGAUAGUCGUUUGACUUGUGACAUCUGCAACAAAAAUCAUCCUGAAAUACAACAUCCCAAUACAUCCUGAACAAAGAGACAUAGGAAGGAAAACAGAAUUGGAUGGAAAAUCAAUUGGGAGCAAUGCUGUUCUCUCACCUCAUACAUGUGGGCAUAUUGGGGCCGGUGAAGAAGCCUGUGUCUUCUCUAUUGUUCCAGUACAAAUAAAGACCCCCAAGGGAGACACUGUGUUGCAGACGUAUGCGUUUUUGGACCAUGGAAGCUCAGCCACCUUCUGCACAGAAAGCCUGAUGAGAAGACUGAAUUUAACAGGACAAAAGACUACUAUUCUUUUGCGUACAAUGAACCAAGUUAAACCUGUGACUAGUCGUCAUAUACCAGGUUUAGAGAUAUCAAGUCUGGACAAAACUGAUUUCAUACAACUGCCCAAUGUAUUUACACAUAAGAUCAUGCCUGUUUCCAAGCUCAACAUUCCCAGACAAGGAGACCUGAUUCAAUGGCCUUACUUGAAGGACGUCAAGAUUCAUGAAAUAGAUUCUGGCAUUGACCUGCUCAUAGGCACAAAUGCUUCUAAGAUAUUGGAACCUUGGGAGGUGGUCAAUAGCCAAGCCAAUGGACCAUACGCUGUGAGGACCCUAUUGGGGUGGGUCAUCUAUGGUCCUUUGAAAGGAGACAACAGCUGGGAUGAGAAUGGCUGCCCUGCUGCUGCUGUCACACUGUCCAUCGUGAACUUAGAGGAGCUACUGGUUAAACAAUAAUGGGAAACUUUGGUACAUCCCACAUCACAGAGCGUAUCACCCGAGGAAAGGAACCUUGAGAGUGGUCUUCGACUGCGGCGCUGGCUUCAAGGGAACAUCGCUCAAUGAACAAUUGCUACAGGGUCCAGAUCUUACCAACUCACUUAUAGGAGUACUCCUCAGAUUCAGACAAGAGCCUGUUGCCCUGAUGGCUGACAUCAAAGCAAUGUUUCACCAGGUCAAAGUGUCAGACAACCAUAUUGACUACUUGCGAUUCCUAUGGUGGCCUGAUGGAUGGAUGAAAGGACACCUCUUUGGAGAAGUGUCAUCGCCGAGUUGUGCAAAUUUUGCACUAAGAAAGACCGUUGAAGAUAACCAAACUCACUUUCCAGCAGAGGUUAUGGACACCGUAAAAAACAACUUUUACGUAGAUGAUUGUUUGAAAUCCAUUUCCACAGAACAGGGCGCUGUUCUUAUGGUAAGAGACCUGACCUCUCUCUGCCAGAAGGGAGGAUUCAUACUGUCCAAGUGGAUCAGCAACAGCCGUAAGGUAUUGGCCUCCAUUCCACAAGAAAACAGAAACAAGGAAAUAAAAGAGUUGGACUUGGACAAGGACAACCUGCCGACGGAAAGAGCACUAGGAUUGCACUGGUGCGUUGAGACAGAUGUGUUCACGUUCAGAAUGACUGCACCCUCAUGAGCAUACACCAGACGCGGCAUCCUGUCCGUGGUUGGCUCUGUAUACGACCCUUUGGGAUUCCUGGCGCCAUUUGUUCUGCCAGCCAAACUGAUUAUGCAGGAACUCUGUAGAAAACACCUUGGAUGAAAACAUACCCCAAACCAUUUCUCAACAAUGGACACAAUGGCUGACAGAUCUAAACAACAUGACAGUUAAAAGAGGACCGUUGCAUGAAGCCCACAAACUUUGGUCAAAUUGGACAUGCACAGUUACACCACUUUUCAGACGCCAGCGAAAGUGGAUACGGUACAGUUUCAUAUCUUCGACUGGAAAACAACGAAAAGGAGGUGCACGUUGCCUUCAUGAAUUUGUAAAAAUGAAUGAUGAAGCAGUGGUCGACUCCACUGCACCACGAGGCUCCUAGUUAAUGGGUAGAAUACUGGAGACGAAAGCAGAUGCACAAGGCCUUGUGCGUACCGUCCGACCGUCAGACAAAAACCAACAUAUUGGAAAGACCAAUAUAUAAGAUAUGUCUGAUUAAAGAAACUGAGAUUUAGUAAGGCCUGGUGGUAAGGACCAGAUACCACCAGGUGCCAUGUUUUGGAGCCCCCGGCCCCAAAAAUGACUACUUCAAAAAGGAAGACUCGAGAAUCCCUGAAGAGGAUUAAUUGCCAACACAUUCCCUUAUUAUUUUUUGGUAAUUGGUAUAAAAGACAAUUAGGGGCCGGUGUGUAGGGGCCAAUAUGUGUUGUUGUUGUUGUUGUUGGCAAAGAAUAUUUUGUUUGUUAGACUGUAUUUAUAUUGACACUUUUGACACUAGGUGGCGGUGAUUAGGUGCACAUGGGUGUACAUAAGGGACGUAGGUGAUAGGAAGCGAGGGCACAGGUAAGGGAGCACCAGACCACAAAGACAGACCACCAUCAAUAGGAGCAUGUUCAACCGGUAUGUUCAUCUAUUUAUACAAUUGCCUGCAACAAAUUACAAACCUCAACCACAAUCAUCGCUGGAUAAUCUUUUGUGUGUCUCCGUCGAAACAUCACUCCCACCUGUGCCUGAUGGCAAAGAACAACAACGAGCCAGCAAAAGGGGCAGCAAACCCAAGAUUGCCAUUACAUCGUCUAUCGUUCAACCUUACGUUACAACAUGACACAUUUAUCAACAAAUUGACGUUUUCUAGCACGUUGAUGUUUCAUCCCAUUUUUAGCCGGUUGAAAAGACGUUGAAAUGAGGUCUUAGACGUUCAGACCUCAUUUCAACCCGAUUUCAACCAUAUUAAAAACGUUGAAAUUACGUCUUGUGCUCACUGGGGAACGUCAAAUAGAAGGAGUUUCAAAAAACUAGAAUUCAAAAAACAACCAGCCAGUCACAAUAGGCCCUUUUCACAAUGACGUCAGAUAAAUUGUUGUGUGUUAAAUUUUUAUCAAAGCUAAAUGUCAAACCAUUUCCAUAUGCUGAUGUGCUUUCAUUCAUUUUAUUCCUGUGUGCAUUUUUCAACAGUUUUCCAUCCAAUAAGCAUGUCAGAGUCAUCUUGUAGAUGCUACUGUAGUGUUCCUUGUUGUUCAAACAACAAACAUAUAUUUGCUUAUUUAAGUUUCCACGAUUUUCCAGUGGACGCUGAGAUACGUGCAUGUUGGGUUAGGGCAAUCAAACGAGACGAGGGACCGAGUUUUAAAAUCCUCCGUGGGAGCACUUACGUCUGUAGUCAGCACUUUGCCCCAGAAGACCUAUGUACAUCAGCCAGUGGACGAACCCGGAUUAAAAAAGGAGCAACGCCAUCUAGAUUCCCCUGGAAUGACUGGGGUAAAGGUAGGACACUAUAAAGCCUGGUAGUACAUAUAAAUAACAAUAAAUCAUAAUUCAUUGCAUUGUUUACAAUUGUGCUUAUAUGAAUUUUAUACAGCCUAUUGGUCCAUAUAAAAAAGUAUAAUAAAUCACCCGGUUGCCAUUUGUUAUUAUUGCAUUUGUGGUAGUAUUAUACAUUUUUUGAGACCUGAGAAAUGAUUGCUAAAUAUCCAUAAUGACAUUUAUGUGUAUCUAUUUCACAUCUCACAGGAAGAGCCUCACAAGCUCGAUAGUUAGUUUACCAGAGAACAAGGAAGCAUUUUAGGGCUGCAGUCCUAGAUGAACCUCAGGAGCUGCCUGUUCCAGGAGACAUCACAGAGGAAGCACUGCCUGCGUGUGGAGUAGCAAAAGAUCAUGACUAUGCCUACCGUCCUUCUCCUGGUAAACUGGAUGCUGCUGCGAUGAGAAUUCAGGAGUUGGAGUUUCAAGUUGUGUCACUUGAACUUGAAAUCCAGCAGCUGACAAUUAAGCAGCAGCAGCCUCUGAUUUUCAAGUUCUGUGUCACAGAUGAGGACUUUCGUUACUACACUAAGUUUAGCUCAAAGGAGGUCUCACUGUGUUUUGGGAGUCAGUUUACCCUUCUGCUUCAGCUUGUCUACCGUUAGUCGCAUCAUCCUCACAUGGACAAGCUACCUUUACCAGGUUCUUGGCUCUCUACCGUUGUGGAUGACGAGAGAGCAAUUGCAGGCCACAAUGCCUGACAAGUUCAAGCUCUAUUGCCCUCAGGUGAGAGUGAUAAUAGACUGCACCGAGAUCUGUUGUGAAAAAGCAUUUUCUCUCUUACUGCAGUCGGAAACGUUUUCCAACUAUAAAAAACCACACCACCUUUAAAGGUCUAAUUGGCAUUGCCCCAUGUGGGGCUAUCACAUUGGUUUCAAAAUUGUACACAGGCUCCAUCUCUGAUAUAGAAAUAACUCGGCAAUCGCAGAUCUUGCAGUUACUUCAACCAGAAGAUGGAGUAAUGGCUGACAAAGGGUUCCAAAUUGAGAAGAUGCUGUCACAGGUGGGGGCAACCCUCAUCAUCCCUCCACUGAAAAAAUCUAAUCAGCUCCGCACAGCGGACACACUGAAGACCCAGGCUAUUGCCCGCUUGAGAAUUUUAGUGGAGAGGGCGAUACGCAGGGUGAAGGAGUACCACAUUUGGGAUGGGCUUGUUCCUCUUUCUAUGGUAGGUUCAGUCAAUCAGUUGUGGGCCAUCUGUUGCCUACUCUCAAACUAUCAGGGACCUCUUGAUAUCAAAGGGGACAAACCUGUCUGAAGUAUUUCCUUUCUUGGGUGAGAUUAAUUCUUCAGUACUUUUAGGUGUUUGACACUAUGUGUAGAUAUACUGUAAAUAUAAGUGCUUUGUAAUAUAUUUUUAAAUUUGCUACAUUUUCUAUGCUUUCAAUGAACAUAGGUUUUAGUAUAUUUUCAUGGUUAUUAAUAAACAAUGUUGUGAAGCAUUCUGUAAAAAGGUUUUGCUGAGUAAAAUGCAUUUACACCUUAACCAUUAAAAGAACAAGAAUAUUUUGCAAA